UCCAGAAGGGACCUAUGCCGCCGAGGGGAAGCGGAGCGGUGCGCGCUGUGUGUUCUCCAGGCCUUUUAGGAAACGUGGAGUGGCUCCUGGGGCCCCAUACACGCGGAGUUACAAGAAAAGGGGCGUUGGAGCCUUCGAGGGCAUAGGUACUGUUCGAAAAGACAGGCCCUGCGAACGGCACCACAAAGCGGUGGCGGAGGCGGUACCCAGCGCAAUGCCGGCAUCGCUGUGAACGAACAAGGGCCCGGUUCCCGCCACGCAGAGCCGAAGCGCUUCCUGACUCGUGUCGGUGGAGUGGUCGGAGAAAGAGGGAAGCUGGAGAGGGCUCCGGUGAGGCAGCAGCCUGCCCCGGGCCAGAGGCGGGCGGCUUGAGAGCCGAGGGGAAGGAGCCAGCCCCUCGGAAGCCCCGCAGAAGCCCCGCGAAAACCCACUCCUGUGAAUUCAUGGCCCAAUGGGUGUAAAGAAAGGAAAGACUUGCGAGGGGCGGCCGAAGUGCCCUGUUUCCGGAGGUGCAGUUCCCAAGGAAGCCUGAGUCAGCGAUCAUCGCCAGGAGCUGGCCUUCCCGGACGGACGAGGGGACAGAGCACCGUGAGAACCAGGGCCCGGUGUGUGCCCCAGGAGGAUUCUUGGUCUCAGAGAUGGAAAUGUCACUUGGGCAUAAGUCAUGAUCAUCACUUUCACACCAGACAUGAUCUCCUGCCCGGUGUAUUACUGGUCCUUCUCCAUCCCACCCUAGGGGGACCACCUGCAUGACACCAUGGAGGGACACAUCAAAAAAAUACUCUGCUAGUUCAGCAUCAUGGACUUCAAAAGCAGAAGCAAGGAAAAUCCAUGCAUUAGGGUUAAUAACCAUACCUCAUGCAGGGUUGUUUGACACAUUCAGGGGGUUGGAGAUCUUCAGGAUAAGUUCCUACAUGGCAAACCAAGUAAAACAUGACUAUAAAUCAUCACGGCUAUAAAAGCCAGCCUGCAUGCCCACAGCCUGAGAGGAAUCUGAGCAGGAAAAAGAAAUGAGGCAGAAGAUCCAUAUGGAGCCAGGCAAGGAUGGACGAAUGCACUUUUGCCAAAAGGGUUUUCCAUGAAAUGCAAAUCCUGCAAGAUGACCUGCUGAAAUAAGUUUAGAAAAUGCUUCAAAUCCUGCAAGAUGAAGCACAAAAGCUACAAGAUGAUCUAUGUCCAAAUAAUUGCUACCACUAUGAGUGACAGAUUAUACAAGAGGAUGAAUGUUAGAUCUUAGUAGCAGUUGGAUUCCAGCUGUGGAACUCAGAAUUCAGGACAGAUUACCCACAUCACCAAGUCAGAAGCAGCAAGAACGAACAUGGAUUUCCAUCCAUCCUUAUGAGGUUCCAGCGCAUCCUCAUGUGAUUCUAGUCUGCUUGGUGACUGUCGCUUCCCAACUGCCCGCCCUCUGAACGUCAGGCCAGCACCAGGCGCAGAGACGGCCUGGCAGAAACUGCUUAUCCAGCCCCACAAGCUAAUUCCCUGUAAGCAAGCCUUUGAUUUGUAAUAUAAAAACAAAAAAUACAUCUAUAUUGCUACUGUUUUACUUCUCCAGUUUAUUCCUUACUGAUACUGAAUUAAAAGACUAGGAAUGAUGGCAAACA